GGGGCUGAUUCUGGAUUCGACGGGAUUCGCGAAACCCAAGGUGCAUGCCGAGGGGCGGUUGGCCUCGUAAAAAGCCGCAAAAAAAUAGUCGCAAACGACGAAAACUACGCUUUAGCAGCUUAAUAACCUGCUUAGAGCCCUCUCUCCCUAGCCUCCGCUCUUAGGACGGGGAUCAAGAGAGGUCAAACCCAAAAGAGAUCGCGUGGAGACCCUGCCUGGGGUUGAAGCGUUAAAACGAAUCAGGCUAGUCUGGUAGUGGCGUGUCUGUCCGCAGGUGCCAGGCGAAUGUAAAGACUGACUAAGCAUGUAGUACUGAGGAUGUAGGAAUUUCGGACGCGGGUUCAACUCCCGCCAGCUCCACCA
rnacentral:tmRNA from 1 species